rnacentral:lncRNA from 1 species
CUCUCUCUCUCUCUCUCUCAGGAAAAUGGCAGAUCGAGAGUUGGGUCCCCAUAUAUCAAAUGCCUCCAAAAUUUGGCUGAGCUCAUAAAUUCAAACGAGUUGGUGAACCUCGUUUGAUUGUUUAUGCUCCAAAGCUACAUUGAUCAGCUUGUAAUAAACAAUCUAAUUUUGUAUUCUAUUCCUCUAUCAUUUUAUGAUUAGGUAUGAUGGUGGGUUUUUCGUACUUGAUUCUUGCGUUACGGGCUAGGCAACUAACGAUUGAUUAGUUUCUACCGCGUAUCUGACGUCCAAAGCGUAGCGUAGCAGAACUAAAAGGCAAUGUGCAUGCUUUCAAAUAACGAUUGUGGCAAAAUGCAAAUAGAAGAGUAUGCUUUUCUAAUUAAAUGAUGGAGAAGAAGAAAUUAUAAAAAGAAACAACCUAAUUCUUGUCUAAUAAACUAAGUUGGUAAUUUGGUUUGUGGUCGCUCAAAUCCGAUUCUCACCGAUUACAAAAAUGCCAAUACUCAUGUCGUGGCGCUUUUGAAGUUAGCCGGCGGUGUAUAAUCAAGGGUCGGUCAAAUUCGAUUUUCAUUUAUUACAAAAACGCUAAUACUCAUGUCGCGGCGCCAUUGGAGUUUAGCCGGUAUGAUGACGUCGAAACUCUUCUGGCUAUAUGAACUUCAAUUUAUCGAUUGCACAAGUCAUGGGAUGGUAUUAAUUGGUAUGCAUAACCAAAAAUAAUUGUCUUCUUUACAACCUCUUUGGUGUAGUUACACAUGUAUCCUAAGGGCCAAUAGAAGACUUAUUUGAGGAAUUUUCAUAUACACCCAAUUUUAAAGAGUGGUUUUAAAUAAAACCCACAUAAUAUUCUUAUCUGAUAGACAUCUAAAAUGUAUCAAUUAUGAUAAAUAUUAUGUCCUAUUUUUUCUAAAUUUUACACAAUUACCACCAUUCAACUAUAACAUAUAAAUAUAAUAAAUAAGCUUAAUUGAUAUUGUCUUAAAUACCUUGAUUAUGAGUUUUUCUUCUAACACUAAUAUUUUUCAAUCAAUUUGCAAGAAUCAUGUAAUUUUCUUUAUUUUUAUGAAAAUAUCUAGAUUAAAUUAAGGAAUUCAUUCUAUAAUC